AGGUAAACUCUUCAUGAUUUCUUCGUUAACACUGUGUGGAGCAAUGCAAAAAAACUGUAAUUCCCAAUUUUUCAUUUCCAAUGCCUCAGAUUCAAUUGAAAUUGAAAAUAAGUUUUAUUCUGUCGAUGCACCAAUUAUCGUUGUUUUGUGUGAUAAGAGUGUGUAUUUCUGUGUGCUUGAGGUCAGUGUGGUACAUGAAAUGUGAGGCUGUCUCGGUCUCUGGAAACUUGCGUGGAUGAAAUUGGUGUGUCUGUUCUCUGAAAUUUGCUUAGUAUUGUCUGAUUGUUGAUUCGUGUAAUUGUUUUGGUGGGAGCUGAUGCCUGGAGGUGUAAAUUCACCCGUGCGGGUUUUAAAUCCGUUGGUGGACAACCUAUAGUGAUGGAUUCUGUGAAGGGCUCUCGCAUGUGGGAUAUUGACGGCAACGAGUACAUCGACUAUGUUGGUUCUUGGUGUCCAGCAAUAAUUGGUCAUGCGGAUGAUCGGGUUCUAUUUUUCUUCCUUUUUCCCCCUGAUUUCGUGAUCAAUGAAUGCAGUACUUUGGUUACGGUCUAGGCACUAGAAGAUUAUGACUUGAUUGAGCAAGACUGGAACUUAAUUAUUCAAGGAGAAAUUUGGUUUAUGCAUGGACUGGGGAGAGCUUAAAUUUCUCGUUUGAGAAAAGUGGCCAAUUACUAAGGCUAGGAUUUCACAUGUUAUUAGUCCUUUCUUUUGUAAGAAAACGCAGCAAUUGAGUGAAGGAAUGAUCACUGUCAUUCGUUUUACUCGAAGUGAUAAAAGGAGCUUUAUCAUGGUGAACAAACCAUUUUGCCGUGCACAUGAUGUUCCUUGCACAAUGGCAGUGAAUUCUUUAACACAAAUCAAAAUUAUUUUUCAAGUCUUCCAGACUGACAUUUACCUACAGGUACUUGCAGCCUAGGCUGAAACAAUGAAGAAAGGUACCAGCUUUGGUGCCUCUUGUCUUCUAGAGAAUGUACUAGCAGAGAUGGUGAUUAAAGCAGUUCAGGUAUAGAAAUGUACGAUUUAUUAAUUCAGGCAAAGAGGCUUGCAUGGGUGUGCUUCGCCUAGCCCGUGCCUUCACUGGAAAGGAGAAGCUUAUCAUGUUUGAGGGUUGUUACCAAGGCCAUGCUGAUACUUUCCUUGUCAGGGACGGAAGUGAUGUUGCUACAUUAUGUCUACCAGACUCACCUGGUGUCCCCAGAGCAGCAACCAGUGAAACUUUAACAGUCCCCUUCAAUGACUUGCAUGCAGUGCGAGGUCUUUUUGAGACGAACAAAGGAGAGAUUGCACCGGUAAUCCUCGAACCUGUUGUUGGAAAUUCUGGUCUUAUUGCACCUAAACCAGACUUCCUUGAAGCUAUCCGCAGGAUUACCAAAGAGAAUAAUGCGCUUCUAAUAUUUGAUGAAGUUAUGACUGGAUUCCGUUUGUCAUAUGGUGGAGCUCAGGAGUAUUUGGCAUAACACCUGAUCUAACAACGCUUGGCAAGAUCAUUGGCGGUGGUCUACCAAGUGGUGCUUAUGGGGGAAGAAGGGAGAUUAUGGAGAUGGUUGAGCCUGCUGGACCAAUGUAUCAGGCUGGGACGUUGAGUGGGAAUCCUUUGGCAAUGACUGCAGGCAUACACACUCUAAAACGAUUGCACGAGCCAGGAAGCUAUGAAUACCUAGGUAAGAUCACAGGUGAACUUGUCCAAGGCAUUUUGGAUGCUGGCAAGAGGGCUGGGCAUGUUGUCUGUGGCGGGCACAUAGGUGGCAUGUUUGGCUUUUUUUAACAGAAGGACCCGUUUACAACUUUGGUGAUGCAAAGAAAAGCGACACAGCAAAAUUUGCCAGGUUUUACCAAGGAAUGCUAGAGGAAGCUGUAUACUUGGCUCCUUCACAAUUUGAGGCUGGUUUUACAAGCUUGGCACAUAUCGCUGAAGCUAUUCAUUCAACAAUUCCUUUUUGUCCUCUUCCAUUCGUUUGUGACGCCACUUUUCUAUUGGGAAACCAUCACUUUUAGGGACACCUUGGCCUUUCUAUGAAUGAAUUGGCCGUUUACUUUGACCAGUUCUAUCCGGUGAGAGUUUGUAUUUUUUUCCUCUGGGAUCAGAACAUUUUAGUAAUUCUGUGUAUCAUUCGCUUUUUAAGCUGCUGCUUCUUCUUCUUCUUUUUAUUUUUUGUUGCUUUAAAGUUAAAGAUGUCAUUCCGCUUUUGAAUUUUAUUUUA
rnacentral:misc_RNA from 1 species